GGCCCGGCGGGGGCGGGAGGGGAUAGAGGGAGCGCUUUCGGUUUUCCCCGUCUCUUCCCCUUAGUCAGCUGACGCCGGGGGCUGAGGGCAUCCUCCUUUGUUGCUAAAGGCCGGUGGGAGACCGGCCGUGCCAGGACUACAUUUGCUCCUGGCUGCAGUCAUAUGCGCUAAGUGCAAGUCAAACACAAGGUGUUCAAAAACACUGAAGAACUUGUAAGUCAUCAGUUGUUGCAUUUCAUUUAAAAGCGAGGAUAAAUGCUCCGUUUUCCUAUGUUUGCGGUAAUACGUACAAUUGACUAUUUCAGCAAAUGUUUCAAGGAGGUUUUUUUUUUGUUUUUUUUUUUUUUCAGGGGUAGCUCUUUUUAGAACUUUUAAUGUAGAGUUGUUUUAAAAUUUUGAAUCUAUGCAUACUUUGUUCUCAAACAUAUGUGUUGGUGAGGCAUUAAAAAAAGGACUGUUAAAUAUAUUUGGGGAUCACACCUUUAUGUACAUUUAUAGAUGUGUAUAUAUUUACAACGUUCUUACAAGUCCCAGAGUUCAACAGAGGAUGAAAGCCAGGGCAGAAUCAAAAUUCUGUGAGAAACUGAAUUUCCAUAGGUUUUGUGUCUCAUAUGGAUUUACUGCAUUUAUGGGGGUUUGCAACAUUUAUAUUGACUUUAUAUUGGGUAGGUCUACCCCAUAAACACCCCCCCUGCUUCCUGAGCCUCUGUUCUCUUAAAUUCUCUCCCAGCCCUCCCUAAGUGAUUAAUGGGUACCGAUGCCUUGACUGCCGCAUUUGUUUCCUCCAGAUAUUCAUAAAGCACUCAGACAUCCUCCAGCAUUCAAGUUUAGUAAAAAGCCUUGAGCUGUGGGAGCCAUCAGACUCGAGAAACGAUGGAGGGGGCUGGCACAAAGCUGCUGAUCCUGCUCCUGCCAGACUGACUCAGAUGAUGUUCUCUGGAGGCCAGAAGAGAUGAGCUGGAGCAAAGGGUAGCAGGGAAGACAUGUCUGCGUCAGCCGUAGCUCAUAUCUGUGUUUGUGCCCUGCGUGCCAGCACGCUGAUAGCCACAGGCACUGGGGUCCCCUCUGUGGGGAGCUGCGCAGCAUUUUCUGUAAGAAAACCAGGGAUGCUUUCCGGCUGCAAAGAGGAGAAGGCUACAGCUGCAGCACGCACUUGUCCCUGUUGCUAAGGUCAUGUUGUCAAACUUCCAAUUACUUGGAGGGAAACAUCAUUACAGCAGACUGCACUGUGUACUUCAGAGAGAUGAAGAUCAACUAGAAGCAACAAAUGGAAUAUAACUAAGCAAAGGAUGCAUGUGACACCUCAGCCACUUCUCGAUGGAGUACCAGAAUACCACUGAACCUAACUACUAAGACCAGGAAUGAAAAAGAACAGAGUAAAGCUAGGCAUGUGACACUGGAUGGAAGAAGAAAGGAACCAAUAUCUCUACAGAUCAAGAUUCAUCAAUGAAUCGUGCCCACUGCCCUUCUGGAAGCAUCAGAACUUCAGCAUGUUACACUGGAAACCUGAGAAACAGCACUGCAGCAAAAGAAGGUGCAGCAGUCCAGCCUGCUGGCACUGGCACAGCAAUAGCACAAAUAAAAUGAAGAAAAAAAAAAAAGACCAAUUUAGUUCUUAAUGCAUCUCAAAUAAAAGAGAAAUUAAAAAUGCUGUCAGAUUAGUAAAAUAUUCUGUACAUACAAGACAUACCCUAGUUUCUUUCAAAGAAGAAUCAAUUCCAUCCUUAUGCUGAUGCAUUUGAUCUACGUGAAUCCUCCAAUCCUAAAAAGACAUCAAAAUUAAAACACAGCCCUACUGUUACCAGGAGAAGAAUGGAAAGAAAGUGGCAGAAAUACCAAAACUUGGUUUUGAUAAUGAAAUACAAUUAGAGGGGGAGAAUUAUUUCCAGCUUCAAGAUCAUAGGAAACAUACAUGGACUCGGGUGGGGUCUAAGAAAAGGUGCUGAGAAUUGGCACUGCACACCAGGCAAUGAGCCACUAGAGAGAAUGUACUUAGAAAAUGUACAGAGAAACCUGUUUUUCAGGUUUGCAGGAGACUCAUGAUCUCUUGUUGGUCUAGUGACAAUCGUUCGCAAUUUGCCAAACUUUGGAGUUUAUAUAGAAACAGCAGGCACACAAGCCACCCCCACUUCUGUCCAGGAUUUUACAGUAAGUUCCAGUUUCUAGUGCCAUUGAUUAAACCAUUAAUACUCUCCUGGUACUACGUUUACAUGCACAGCUUGGGAAACAGAAUAUGUUUUCUUGCAGAAUGGAAAAAACACUUCUCUCCAAUUAUUUCUCAAAGAAGCUAGAAGAAUAAUCCUCUUUUCAUGUUCAUUUUGACAUACUCCUUAAUGCCAAGAGAUGGUGCAUUAAGCUGGAAGCUAGUAAACCUCAGAUCCUACAGUGGCUUUAAUUUUUCAUGUAUGUCUUAUUAAGUUUUAAUUCCUCACUGUGAGACUCAAGCAUCAUGUUCUCUGCAACAGAUGGGUUUGCUAAGGAUCACAGCAGAGUGGUUCGAGCCAGGCAAUUCUUCACACAGAAAAAUGCAGUAUGGUGCAAGACAGGCAAGGAGCUCAGCAGACAGUUAAAGGUUUCUCCUAUUUUUGGCAAGAUAAUUAUCUUUCAUUGUAUUCAUGUAUAUGUAUUGUAUUGCUAUAUCAGUGCUGCAGAUUGCUCUAACACCCCAACUGCUCAGGUCACUGCAAAUGAACAAUUUCAGUGCUGCACUGAUCUGUGUGUGCUACACAAGCUCCUAGAAAGAAUGCUUAUGGCAAUGCCAGGAGCAGGUCCUAGGUUUGGACUUGCCAAAGAUGGAUGCCUACUUCUAAGCUGCUCAUUCUAGACUCCUUGAAAUAGACUGUGGAGAGAAAUACACAAUUCUAAGACACAAUGAAUUUCACCCUGAGAGAGUUGCCAAGACAUGAUGAGCAAAAGCAGUUGAAAAAAUGCUCAGUUCUUUUCACAAAGCAUAAGGAGAACUCAGGAUGACUAGACCUAUUGGAUUGUCAUGUAAAGUUCACCAAGAGGAAUUCCACACAAUCAGCCUGGUUGAAAAAUGGAGCAACUGAAAGUUUUAUUUUGCAGGAGCACAAUUCAAGGAGUAUUAAGUUCCAUAUUUCUGAACAAAAUAAGACAUGGGGAAUUUAUGAUAUGGAGCUUAUGAAGAGACAUAAUACCUGGGACAAGCUGAAAGAUCAAAAGUAUACCACAUUUCCUUCAGAGCGUCACUGUAUUACAAAAAUAAACCAACCAAACAACAAAACCCAAAUCCUAAACCCAAGGCCUCUGACAUCAAAUGGCCCAUUAUCAAUAGUUGUAUGGUAAUUGUAUUUUAUUAUGCAUUUUUUAAAGCUCUACCUUAAAAAUAAAACCCCAUCAAACCAAAAACCAAACAAAAACCAGACCUCAACAGUUUUCAUUAUGUUGUUUGCACUACAUAUUUGGAGUUACAGAAUGAUGCCACAUCUUAAGUAUGCAAAAUAACACAACAGGAAUUGAGGCAAUUGAUUUUUUCUUGCCCAUGAGACCACGCUCUCUGCUCACAUAUUCUAUAAAUCUGUUAUAGCCUCAAAAUUCCCAUCUUCCGUCACUAUGAUCAGCUGAGAGC